CAGCGUGCGUGACUGCUGGAUUUACACGCAAUGCCGUAAGCAGUAUGACACCACACCCUUCUCU